rnacentral:misc_RNA from 1 species
UUCAUCUCUUAAUUCUAAUGGUGUAGUCAUUCCAAUGGGCAGCAUCAGUGAUAUUCAAACUUUGCUUCUGGCAGUCAUGUGCCAUGUUGCAAUAAACUGCCUCUGUAAGAGAUCUUCUGCACCAGUGAUUGCUGAUGAAACUGAUCAAAAGCAAGGAUUCUGCUUUGUUGAUGCUGGUAUUGCCUUCUGCAAACUUCAACAUCUCAUCCCUACUGUCCCUGUCAAAACCCAAGUUGCAUUAAUUGUGGCAAUCCAUGACUUGCUUGCUGAGUAUGGACUAUGCUGUGUGGGUGAGAGGGGCAAAGGGGAGGAAGGAACAUUUCUUAGAUUUGCAAUAAAGCACCUCUUAGCCCUGGACAUGAAGCUCAAGUCCAG